GAUGUUUAGCUCUGCUCCCGCUGGCAUUUCUUCUCGAGGGAAGAAAGUCUUAUGCAAUAUAGAAUCGAGUGCAUUACGGGUUGCCAAGGCACUGAG